UACGUAGGGGGCAAGCGUUGUCCGGAAUUAUUGGGCGUAAAGAGCGUGUAGGCGGCUCGGUAAGUCCGCUGUAAAAGUCAAAGGCUCAACCUUUGAAUGUCAGUGGAUACUGCCGGGCUAGGGUCCGGAAGAGGCGAGUGGAACUCCUGGUGUAGCGGUGGAAUGCGCAGAUAUCAGGAAGAACACCAACGGCGAAGGCAGCUCGCUGGGACGGUACUGACGCUGAGACGCGAAAGCGUGGGGAGCGAACAGG
rnacentral:rRNA from 1 species